UACAGAGGUCCCAAGCGUUGUUCGGAUUCACUGGGCGUAAAGGGCUCGUAGGCGGCCAACUAAGUCGGAUGUGAAAUCCCCAGGCUUAACCUGGGAACUGCAUCCGAUACUGGAUGGCUUGAAUCCGGGAGAGGGAUGCAGAAUUCCAGGUGUAGCGGUGAAAUGCGUAGAUAUCUGGAGGAAUACCGGUGGCGAAGGCGGCAUCCUGGACCGGCAUUGACGCUGAGUGAGCGAAAGCCAGGGGAGCAAACGGG
rnacentral:rRNA from 1 species